UACGUAGGGCGCAAGCGUUGUCCGGAAUUAUUGGGCGUAAAGAGCUCGUAGGCGGUCUGUUGCGUCCGCUGUGAAAACUCGGGGCUUAACCCCGAGCCUGCAGUGGAUACGGGCAGACUAGAGGUAGGUAGGGGAGAAUGGAAUUCCCGGUGUAGCGGUGAAAUGCGCAGAUAUCGGGAGGAACACCGGUGGCGAAGGCGGUUCUCUGGGCCUUACCUGACGCUGAGGAGCGAAAGCGUGGGGAGCGAACAGG
rnacentral:rRNA from 1 species